GUCGAGCGAGGAGAUCCUUCGGGAUGAUCCUAGCGGCGGACGGGUGAGUAACACGUGGGCAACCUGCCUCAUAGAGAGGAAUAGCCUUCCGAAAGGAGAUUAAUACCUCAUAACAUUGCAGUUUCGCAUGGAACAGCAAUUAAAGGAGUAAUCCGCUAUGAGAUGGGCCCGCGGCGCAUUAGCUAGUUGGUGAGGUAACGGCUCACCAAGGCGACGAUGCGUAGCCGACCUGAGAGGGUGAUCGGCCACAUUGGGACUGAGACACGGCCCAGACUCCUACGGGAGGCAGCAGUGGGGAAUAUUGCACAAUGGGGGAAACCCUGAUGCAAGCAACGCCGCGUGAGUGAUGACGGCCUUCGGGUUGUAAAGCUCUGUCUUCAGGGACGAUAAUGACGGUACCUGAGGAGGAAGCCACGGCUAACUACGUGCCAGCAGCGGC
rnacentral:rRNA from 1 species